rnacentral:rRNA from 1 species
CCUACGGGUGGCAGCAGUGGGGAAUAUUGCACAAUGGGGGAAACCCUGAUGCAGCGACGCCGCGUGAGCGAUGAAGUAUUUCGGUAUGUAAAGCUCUAUCAGCAGGGAAGAAAAUGACGGUACCUGACUAAGAAGCCCCGGCUAACAACGUGCCAGCAGCCGCGGUAAUACGCAGGGGGCAAGCGUUAUCCGGAUUUACUGGGUGUAAAGGGAGCGUAGACGGCAUGGCAAGCCAGGUGUGAAAUACCGGGGCUCAACCCCGGGACUGCAUUUGGAACUGUUAAGCGGGAGUGUCGGAGAGGAAGGCGGAAUUCCUGGUGUAGGGGUGAAAUGCGUAGAUAUUAGGAGGAACACCAGUGGCGAAGGCGGCCUGCUGGACGAUGACUGACGUUGAGGCGCGAAAGCGUGGGGAGCAAACAGGAUUAGAUACCCGAGUAGUC